CGUGUAGGCGGGUCUUUAAGUCAGGGGUGAAAUGCCAAGGCUCAACCUUGGAACUGCCCUUGAUACUGGAGAUCUUGAGUCCGGGAGAGGUGAGUGGAACUGCGAGUGUAGAGGUGAAAUUCGUAGAUAUUCGCAAGAACACCAGUGGCGAAGGCGGCUCACUGGCCCGGAACUGACACUGAGACGCGAAAGCGUGGGGAGCAAACAGGAUUAGAUACCCUGGUAGUCCACGCUGUAAACGAUGGAUGCUAGCCGUUGGGGAGCUUGCUCUUCAGUGGCGCAGCUAACGCUUUAAGCAUCCCGCCUGGGGAGUACGGUCGCAAGAUUAAA
rnacentral:rRNA from 1 species